GAUGAACGCUGGCGGCGUGCCUAAUACAUGCAAGUCGAGCGAACAGACGAGGAGCUUGCUCCUCUGACGUUAGCGGCGGACGGGUGAGUAACACGUGGAUAACCUACCUAUAAUACUGGGAUAACUUCGGGAAACCGGAGCUAAUACCGGAUAAUAUAUUGAACCGCAUGGUUCAAUAGUGAAAGACGGUUUUGCUGUCACUUAUAGAUGGAUCCGCGCCGCAUUAGCUAGUUGGUAAGGUAACGGCUUACCAAGGCGACGAUGCGUAGCCGACCUGAGAGGGUGAUCGGCCACACUGGAACUGAGACACGGUCCAGACUCCUACGGGAGGCAGCAGUAGGGAAUCUUCCGCAAUGGGCGAAAGCCUGACGGAGCAACGCCGCGUGAGUGAUGAAGGUCUUCGGAUCGUAAAACUCUGUUAUUAGGGAAGAACAAAUGUGUAAGUAACUAUGCUCGUCUUGACGGUACCUAAUCAGAAAGCCACGGCUAACUACGUG
rnacentral:rRNA from 1 species